GUGGCCGGGAACGCGCUGGCUGUCCAGUGGACUUCUGAGGACCCUCGCCUCCUCCGAAUCUCCAUCCUGAACUUUCUCGACCAGCUUUUCCUGGUGGUGCAGACCAUGCAGCGCUUUGGGCCCCCUGUCUCCCGCUAAGCCCGGGCCACAGGGGCCUGGGGCCUGACCUCAUGCCCCUCCUGCCAGCGCCCCCUUCCCUAGGGCAUUGAUUCCUAGAGUAGUUGCCACUUUCUUACUGGAGCCUAAUUUUUUGCUGCACUGGGCUUUGGGUGCUGUGGGCCCACUUGUUUUAUUUGGUGCUUAAAUGUUUUUUUCCUGCAGAAAAUUAAAACGAGCUGCGAUUCCCUGCCUGAGUUCCUUCACAGCUUCCACACCUCCAGAUUUUCUUGCCUUUGUUCUCUGGUUGGAGGGGAGGCUCUGGGAUUCAGAUAUUCAAGUAGUACAAGUUGCCGAACCACUACUGAUAUAUCAUGAACCGAAGUCCAGAGUUUACAGGAGGGCUCACUCCUUUGUUAAAAAACAAAAUUCACAGGGAAAGAACUGAAGCUGGAACUGUGACCCAUGACAAUUUUUGAAAUUACCUAUAUAACUGAUUGUUGAACUGUACAUCGAAAGUUAACGCCUUUCUGCAUGAAUGUUUUACAUUAAUGGAAGUGGCCGAAGUGGAACUGUGACCCGUGACAUUCUCUGAAGUUUGUUCUCUGACUACUUGUAGAAUCCUACUUUGAAAGUUAUCACUGUUAUGUAUAUAUGUUAAAGUUCACAACAAAGAAAUGCAAAAAAAAUUCAUUUUCUUUAGAUUGAAA